rnacentral:rRNA from 1 species
CGUCAAUGAGGGUGAGAAUCCUGUUUGUCAUGUGCAGCCCUUUGUGCACGGUGUAUAUUUGCUGAGUCACACUCCUUGGCAUUGGAAUGCAAAGUGGGUGGUAAGUUUCAUGUAAAGGUAAACAUGCAAUUGAGACUGAUAGCACACAAGUACCAUGAGGGAAAUAUGAAAAGGACUUUGAAAAGAGAAUUAAAUGAGUUUGUAUUUGCUGAACACAAAGUAAACAGACUUGAUUUGCUUGGUGGGAGUGUUGCACUUGCUUGACAAGAGCUUUGGGCUGUGGGUGUAAUGAUUCUUUCUUUGCAUGCCAGUUUCUAUUUGUACAUCUGAUUACCUUUGCACAUGAAUGAUAAGUCUCCUGUGGGGGGUGGAUUGCAUGUGCAUGUAAUGAUUUGUGUUUUGAUAAAUGUGUCUGGUGUAUGUGUGUGUUCCUGUGCUUGGGGAUGCUUCCUUCCUUGGACUUACAAGCCCUGACACACACAUGCUGGCAAAAUGCUUCUGCUUGACCCGUCUUGAAACACGGACCAAGGAGUCUAACAGAUGUGCAAAGUUUGAAGGUGGUAUACCUUUGUGUGCAAUGAAAGUGUCAGCUGGGAUAUGUGCACCAGCACCCAAUUAAUUAGCGGACAGAGGUUUGAGUUGGAGCAUAUCUAUUAGGACCCGAAAGAUGGUGAACUAUGCCUGAACAGAAUGAAUUCAGAGGAAACUCUGAUGGAGGUUCGUAUCGAUACUGACGUGCAAAUCGUUCGUCAUAUUUGGGUAUAGGGGCGAAAGACUAAUCGAACCAUCUAGUAGCUGGUUCCCUCCGAAGUUUCCCUCAGGAUAGCUGGAGUUGCUCAGUUUUAUCAGGUAAAGCGAAUGAUUAGAGGAAUUGGGGACAGGUUUGUCUUUGACCUAUUCUCAAACUUUAAAUGGGUAAUAUGUAGUGGUUGCUGUAUGGAACUUCUAAGAUAAAUGGCAAUAUUGGGUGGGCCAUUUUUGGUAAGCAGAACUGGCGAUGAGGGAUGAACCUAAUGUGGGGCUAAGGUGCUUAAU